rnacentral:rRNA from 1 species
CUGACGGAGCGACGCUGCGUGAAGGAUGACGGCCUGCGGGUUGUAAACUUCUUUUCUCGAAGAAGAAUAAAUGACGGUAUUCGAGGAAUAAGCAUCGGCUAACUCUGUGCCAGCAGCCGCGGUAAGACAGAGGAUGCAAGUGUUAUUCGGAUUGAUUGGGCGUAAAGCGUCUGUAGGCGGUUUGGAAAGUCUUUUGUGAAAUUCUUCAGCUCAACUGGGGGUCCGCAAAAGAAACUUCUAGGCUUGAGGGAAGUAGAGGUACAGGGAAUUUCCGGUGGAGCGGUGAAAUGCGUAGAUAUCGGAAGGAACACCAAUAUGGCGAAGGCACUGUACUGGGCUUUACCUGACGCUAAGAGACGAAAGCUAAAGGAGUGAUUAGGAUUAGAUACCCUAGUAAUUUUAGCCGUAAACGAUGGAAACUCACUGCCGAGCCGGUAUUCGGAGCGGUGGUCAAGCUAACGCGUGAAGUUUCCCGCCUGGGGACUACGCAUGCAAAUGUGAAACUCAAAGGAAUUGACGGGGACCCGCACAAGCGGUGGAGCAUGUGGUUUAAUUCGAUGAUACGCGAGGAACCUUACCAGGGCUUAAAUGUAAGAUGCAUUAGUUAGAGAUAGCUAUUUCUUCGGACUUCUUACAAGGUGCUGCAUGGUUGUCGUCAGCUCGUGCCGUGAGGUGUCAGGUUAAGUCCUAUAACGAGCGCAACCCUUGUCGUUAGUUGCCAGCAUGUAAAGAUGGGGACUCUAACGAGACUGCCGGUGUAAACCGCGAGGAAGGUGGGGAUGACGUCAAAUCAUCACGGCC